rnacentral:lncRNA from 1 species
GAAUUUGGAAGAUGUCCAUGUCUAAGACAAUGGUGAGGAUGGGGCCAAAAUCCAGAUCCAGCCUUGGAUCAAGGAAGCCUUGAUUCCUUCAUCUGAGUGACCCUGUGUUGACCCACGGCUGCUGAUGGAUCGCGGACCUUCCUCUCUCCUCACUGCCCUGCAUCAGAUCACCAGGAGGACCUGAGAGUUCUGGAUGAACCAUCACAAGACUGGGAUUGGAAAGUGUGGGGAGCAAGCACUCAGGGAGAUGCAGCUGGUUCCCUGGCCCUGGGCUGUGGCUCAGCUCUUGGUCAUGGCACAAGUGACCAGAGGCCAGAAAAACAUGGUGGGGACUGAUUCUGUCUUGGCUACUCCUCAUCAGUGCCUUGAGCUGCAUGAAGCCCUGAGAACCAAGGCAACACGAGGGCACAACCAGGGAUUUGCUCUUCUCAUGGUCCACACCUUAAGCACAGCACAAAGUUCCACCCUUUGCUUCUGCAGGUUUGGCAUUUGCCUGUACGCACGCAUGCACAUUGCUCGGGGAUGA